AUAAGAGGCAACCCCCACAUGUGCCAAUUAGCCAUCUAGCAUGCUUCGAACACCUAUGUUUAAGCUAACUGUGGAGAAAAUGUAGUUAGUCAACUGGAGACACAGUGUAUAGAUAUGUGCAAAACUGCAGCAUUAAGUGUAUAUUUAUUAUGUCAAAGAAUAUUUCUUGCUGACAUGAAAGAUAUGGGGCAUAUGUUUAAAAAACAAUGAGACGUUUCCAAACGUUAAAACAGUGUUGGAAUAGUAGUUUGUGGGCGACUAAUGGCUAAAAACCCGACAGUACAUAAGGAAAAGGGUUUUCGAUAAGUAGCUAUUCGAGCACAAGAUGUAGGCCUCCAACUGUUCACAGCACAACUCCAACUACAAGAUCAGCACUCACAGAGAAAUCAAAGGGUGUGUUCUUAAAUUCACUCUACGGUGUCAGAGUGCGCUCAAAGCAUUGUAGUCUUUAUUUUUCCCAAUGAAGUUAACCCCAAACCACACCCGUUAUUCAGAGGGACGUUCUACUACGCACCCAUUGGCUAGCUAGCGUUGUCUCACUCACAGGCGAUCAGCGCAGAGACCUUCCAAGCUGUUCCUGCACACAUCAUUUUUUCUUGAGGCAAUGCGAAGUUUGGUAGCCGAAGUCUACGCCCCUUCGUUGGUGAUUGGUCAACAGUACUCCUCCUAUAAUGUGCUGGUGCGCUUGUAAACCUCCAAGAGCCACUCAUCAGAGAAGUAGCUGUUGAUUGGGAAUCAAGAACAAACAAUGAGGCAUGAGAAUUGGGUGUUGAGGGGCCACAUUGUCCAAGUCCAACAGGAGUGCAUCCCUCAGACCAUCCGGAUCAUGGACAUCCUGUGACGGUGUGAUCCAGUUGUGGAGACAACUGCACAUCGAGCCUGUGGACGAACAGCUCAGUAACUCAUCAAAUAUGAUACAAUAUUGUAGAUGCAU